UACAGAGGGUGCGAGCGUUAAUCGGAAUUACUGGGCGUAAAGCGUGCGUAGACGGUUAUUUAAGUCGGAUGUGAAAGCCCCGGGCUCAACCUGGGAAUUGCAUUCGAGACUGAAUAGCUAGGGUGCGGUAGAGGGAAGCGGAAUUUCCGGUGUAGCGGUGAAAUGCGUAGAUAUCGGAAGGAACACCUGUGGCGAAAGCGGCUCACUGGACCAUAACUGACGCUGAGGCGCGAAAGCUAGGGGAGCAAACAGG
rnacentral:rRNA from 1 species